rnacentral:rRNA from 1 species
GACGAACGCUGGCGGCGUGCCUAACACAUGCAAGUCGAGCGGGGUUGAAGCGAGAGGUAACUCGAGCUUCUACCUAGCGGCGGACGGGUGAGUAACGCGUGGGCAACCUGCCUCAAGGUUUGGGAUAACAGCCCGAAAGGGCUGCUAAUACCGGAUAUGCCUAUGGCCUCGCAUGGGGCUAUGAGCAAAGGGGAAACCCGCCUUGAGAUGGGCCCGCGUCCCAUCAGCUAGUUGGUGAGGUAACAGCUCACCAAGGCGACGACGGGUAGCCGGCCUGAGAGGGUGACCGGCCACACUGGGACUGAGACACGGCCCAGACUCCUACGGGGGGCAGCAGUGGGGGAUCUUGCACAAUGGGCGAAAGCCUGAUGCAGCGACGCCGCGUGAGCGAAGAAGGCCUCGGUUGUAAAGUUCUGUCUGGAGGGACGAACAAAAUAGAACGGUACCUCCGGAGGAAGGCCACGGCUAACUACGUG